AGUCAACAUGCCCAGGGGACGUGGAUAACCUCGGGAAACUGAGGAUAAACCGCGAUAGGUCAUCACUUCUGGAAUGGGUAAUGACUUAAACCUAUAUGGCCCCUGGAUUGGACUGCGGCCGAUCAGGCUGUUGGUGAGGUAAUGGCCCACCAAACCUGUAACCGGUACGGGCUCUGAGAGGAGGAGCCCGGAGAUGGGCACUGAGACAAGGGCCCAGGCCCUAUGGGGCGCAGCAGGCGCGAAACCUCUGCAAUAGGCGAAAGCUUGACAGGGUUACUCUGAGUGAUUUCCGUUAAGGAGAUCUUUUGGCACCUCUAAAAAUGGUGCAGAAUAAGGGGUGGGCAAGUCUGGUGUCAGCCGCCGCGGUAAUACCAGCACCCCGAGUGGUCGGGACGUUUAUUGGGCCUAAAGCAUCCGUAGCCGGUUCUACAAGUCUUCCGUUAAAUCCACCUGCUUAACAGAUGGGCUGCGGAAGAUACUAUAGAGCUAGGAGGCGGGAGAGGCAAGCGGUACUCGAUGGGUAGGGGUAAAAUCCGUUGAUCCAUUGAAGACCACCAGUGGCGAAGGCGGCUUGCCAGAACGCGCUCGACGGUGAGGGAUGAAAGCUGGGGGAGCAAACCGGAUUAGAUACCCGGGUAGUCCCAGCUGUAAACGAUGCAGACUCGGUGAUGAGUUGGCUUAUUGCUAACUCAGUGCCGCAGGGAAGCCGUUAAGUUUGCCGCCUGGGGAGUACGGUCGCAAGACUGAAACUUAAAGGAAUUGGCGGGGGAGCACCACAAGGGGUGAAGCCUGCGGUUCAAUUGGAGUCAACGCCGGAAAUCUUACCGGGGGCGACAGCAGAGUGAAGGUCAAGCUGAAGACUUUACCAGACAAGCUGAGAGGAGGUGCAUGGCCGUCGCCAGCUCGUGCCGUGAGGUGUCCUGUUAAGUCAGGUAACGAGCGAGAUCCCUGCCUCUAGUUGCUACCAUUAUUCUCAGGAGUAGUGGAGCUAAUUAGAGGGACCGCCGUCGCUGAGACGGAGGAAGGUGGGGGCUACGGCAGGUCAGUAUGCCCCGAAACCCUCGGGCCACACGCGGGCUGCAAUGGUAAGGACAAUGAGUUUCGAUUCCGAAAGGAGGAGGCAAUCUCUAAACCUUACCACAGUUAUGAUUGAGGGCUGAAACUCGCCCUCAUGAAUAUGGAAUCCCUAGUAACCGCGUGUCACUAUCGCGCGGUGAAUACGUCCCUGCUCCUUGCACACACCGCCCGUCGCUUCAUCGAAGUUGGUUCUUGGCGAGGUGGUGCCUAAUUGGUACUAUCGAACCUGGGGUCAGCAACGAGGGAGAAGUCGUAACAAGGUGGCCGUAGGGGAACCUGCGGCCGGAUCACCUCCUUAGUUAUUAUAUUGUAGUAGUGGUAGUGGGUUAGAAGGGGCCUUGUGCUCUUUCUAAUCUGCGAGACUUUACAAUAAUUAUACUAAUAAAAUAAAAUAAAAUAAAAUCCCUGAAUCUAUCAUAAUACACACACACAUAUCUGUUCUGUCCUGUACUAAAUACAGAAUGGACUGUGAGAUAAGAUGAUAAGAUAAAGGGAGUGCAAUCAAAUCAAUUUGAUCAAUCAGUUCCUUCAUUUUUCAUACGGUUUGAAAAACUGAUUAGUAUGUUGUAUUUUUGAUAAAUUGAUAUAAAGACAAAGAUUAGAAAUAAUGCUGAAUUAAAUAUGAUUGGUAAUUUAUUUUGCAAUCAAGUAUCUGUGCAUUUUUUGUAAUAUGAUAUUAAAAGAUCAAUAAUUCGCUAUCUAUCAUCUAUCUGAUCAUUCCGAUAAAAAUCAGCAUGUAGUAUCGGAUGCAAUUCUUUGUCUCAUAUAAAUGAGGAGUAGAAGAUAAAGAAUGAAGUUGAUGUAGUAAACGUGAGUUUACAAUGAUCAUCAUGUAAAGGAAAACUCCAAUCAUAUAUGGAUAGAAAAUAAAAUACAUAGAAUAACUAAUACUAAUUCAAAACUAUUAUGAUAAUGGAUAAUUUCUAUUCGCGUAAUAAUGGAAUAGUGAAUUGUAGUAAAAUAUUAUGUGUAACUGGUUGUAGUGCAAACAGAGAUUAAUAUAUAAACAUACAUACGAAAUACCAAUACCAAUACCAACCAAAUUGAAUUAGACUUUUCUACCACAAGUGGAACUAACUAACUAACUAACUAACUAACUAACUAACUAACUAACUAACUAACUAACUAGAUAACAAGAUCCAACAAAGGACAAAGAAAGAAAGGAAGAAAUUAAAAAACUCCAAAAAAAGAAAGAAAGUAAUUAAAUUAAUUAAUUAAUUUAUAACUACUGGACUGGUGCAAAGACGCCGAUUGGUGGAUG
rnacentral:rRNA from 1 species